UACGUAGGGGGCUAGCGUUGUCCGGAAUCAUUGGGCGUAAAGAGCGUGUAGGCGGUCCGGUAAGUCCGCUGUGAAAGUCGGGGGCUCAACCCUCGAAUGCCGGUGGAUACUGUCGGGCUAGAGUGCGGAAGAGGCGAGUGGAAUUCCGUGGUGGUAGCGGUGAAAUGCGCAGAUAUCAGGAGGAACACCUAUUGCGAAGGCAGCUCGCUGGGACGUUACUGACGCUGAGACGCGAAAGCGUGGGGAGCAAACAGG
rnacentral:rRNA from 1 species